rnacentral:rRNA from 1 species
GAUGAACGCUGGCGGCGUGCCUAAUACAUGCAAGUCGAGCGAACAGAUGAGGAGCUUGCUCCUCUGACGUUAGCGGCGGACGGGUGAGUAACACGUGGAUAACCUACCUAUAAGACUGGGAUAACUUCGGGAAACCGGAGCUAAUACCGGAUAAUAUAUUGAACCGCAUGGUUCAAUAGUGAAAGACGGUUUUGCUGUCACUUAUAGAUGGAUCCGCGCCGCAUUAGCUAGUUGGUAAGGUAACGGCUUACCAAGGCAACGAUGCGUAGCCGACCUGAGAGGGUGAUCGGCCACACUGGAACUGAGACACGGUCCAGACUCCUACGGGAGGCAGCAGUAGGGAAUCUUCCGCAAUGGGCGAAAGCCUGACGGAGCAACGCCGCGAGAGUGAUGAAGGUCUUCGGAUCGUAAAACUCUGUUAUUAGGGAAAAACAAAUGUGUAAGUAACUAUGCACGUCUUGACGGUACCUAAUCAGAAAGCCACGGCUAACUACGUG